rnacentral:rRNA from 1 species
ACACGACUACAUUAGAUACCCCUGUAGUCCUAGCCGUAAACGAUACUCGCUAGGUGUCGGCCACGGUGCGACCGUUGUCGGUGCCGUAGGGAAGCCGUGAAGCGAGCCACCUGGGAAGUACGGCCGCAAGGCUGGAACUUAAAGGAAUUGGCGGGGGAGCACAACAACGGGUGGAGCUUGCGGUUUAAUUGGAUUCAACGCCGGAAAUCUUACCGGGACCGACAGCAACAUGAAGGCCAAGCUGAAGACUUUGCCGGAUUAGCUG